rnacentral:rRNA from 1 species
GACAGAGGUGCCGAGCGUUAGGCGGAAUCACUGGGCUUAAAGCGUGUGUAGGCGGCCCGUUAAGUGUCCGAGUGAAAUCCCCCGGCUCAACCGGGGAACCGCCGGGCAUACUGGCGGGCUUGGGCCGCUCAGGGGCAGACGGAACAGGCGGUGGAGCGGUGAAAUGCGUAGAUAUCGGGAGGAACACCUGUGGCGAAAGCGGCUCACUGGACCACAACUGACGCUGAUGCGCGAAAGCUAGGGGAGCAAACAGG